AAAAUAAUUCAUCAUCUUCAUCUUUCAUGUAAGGAUUACUAAAUCAAAAUUGGUCCUUUGCACCAUAAUUUUAAAACUUAUUACUAACUGCCAGAUAAAG